rnacentral:lncRNA from 1 species
AUAUCAUAUAUGAGAUAUUUAUAGUUUAAUGUGAAAGAUGUGUUAGAAGUCUUACAUCAACUAAAAAUAAAAUCAAUUUAUAAUAUAUAAACGAAGUAUAAACCUCGUCUUACAAAUCGAUUUUGUGAAAUUAAAUUAAACUUUAAAACUCACUUUAUAAGAUAAGUUGUUACAUUUCGUUUAGUUUGCAUUAUAAAGAAAAAUGAGAGGAAGGAAAGGAAAAACAGUUUGUAAAGCUUGCAAUGAUGCAUAAUGAUGAGGGUUGAAUGAGAGAGAGAGAGGGAAGUUAUUGAGAGUUGUUAAAAGGUGUGGUGUGUGUGGAUAAUGAAUACAUAGGUCUGACACUUGGCCCUUCCCUCCAUUAUCUUUUUCUUUUAUUUCUUCCAAUUACUCAACUCAACGUUGCAACACUCAAAUAUGCAGCAAUUACGUGUAGGGAUCUUCUGUUUUCGCCACCACAAACAAGAUGCGACGUUUCCUGGUUCCACCCAACUCAUCAUCAUCAUCAUCAUAAUAAUCUCUCCUUCUUCUUCCUUCAACCACCCAACAAUUCUUUUCUUCAUCUUCUUCUAGCUUUAUCAAUGUCAAAUGCCCAUCUAAAUGCAUAUGUAAGGGACGACUCAGCUCAUCCGCCUUUAUCAAAUUUUAGAUCUUAAUUAAUCCAUGUUAAUUAAUUG